UUAGGGUUCGAUUCCGGAGAGGGAGCCUGAGAAACGGCUACCACAUCUAAGGAAGGCAGCAGGCGCGCAAAUUACCCAAUCCUAAUACAGGGAGGUAGUGACAAGAAAUAACAAUACAGGACUUUUUGGUUUUGUAAUUGGAAUGAGUUAAGUAUAAACCCCUUUACAAGUAUCAAUUGGAGGGCAAGUCUGGUGCCAGCAGCCGCGGUAAUUCCAGCUCCAAUAGCGUAUAUUAAAGUUGUUGCAGUUAAAAAGCUCGUAGUUGGAUUUCUGUUAAUAAUUUAUAUAAAAUAUUUUGAUGAAUAUUUAUAUAAUAUUAACAUAAUUCAUAUUACUAUAUAUUUUAGUAUAUGAAAUUUUACUUUGAGAAAAUUAGAGUGCUUAAAGCAGGCAUAUGCCUUGAAUACUCCAGCAUGGAAUAAUAUUAAAGAUUUUUAUCUUUCUUAUUGGUUCUAAGAUAAGAAUAAUGAUUAAU
rnacentral:rRNA from 1 species